rnacentral:rRNA from 1 species
CUUGGCGACCAUAGCGUUUUGGACCCACCUGACUCCAUUCCGAACUCAGAAGUGAAACGAAAUAGCGCCGAUGGUAGUGUGGGGUUUCCC